AUGGUGAGGCAGGGGCGCGGACAACUCGGAGACAGCCGGAUCCGGGCGGCUUCGCUCCCGGCAAGAACUUGGCGCGGACAUGGUGGCUCGGCGUCUGUCAAGAGAAACAGGGGAGAGAUGAGAGGCGGGAAGGAGGAAACGAGAAAGGAGGAAGGGAAGGAGAGGGCGCGAGCGGGCUCAUCUCCGGCACGGCGGCGUUCCAAAUGGCGGCGGUGGCGCUCGUUCUGGUUGGAGGAGGAGCUCGGGCGCGUGAGGGAGCCGGUCUCCGGUGAAGCAGAGGCGCGGCAGAGGGAGUCCAUAGCGCGUGGCUUGAUGCCGCGGGGCUCUGGUGGCGCGGUCGCCGGCGACGUUGGAGGCAGCGACUGCUGGUCUUGGUCGUCGGCGGGGAUGGCGGGGCUUGAUGGCGAGGCAGGAGAGACGGGGCACGGCGAGGGAUGCAGGGGGCGCUUGCGAGGCUGCUUGUCGGGAGGGCCAAGUGGAUCGAUGGGAUGGAUGGAGAAGCCCCAGUUCGGCAGCCUCUGUUCCCGCCCUUCAGCGGCCACCUCGCCACCCCUCCAAUGCCCAGCACGUCCUUAUCCAACGCCGCCCUUCAGCGCCCACCCAUCCGCCUGCCCGCCCGGCAACGCCCGAUUGAAUUGCUGCUGCCAAGAUCUGCCUCAAUGUGGUUUGCAUCAUUGCGGCGACGACAUCGUCGAUCUUCGACUCCGGCGGCUACAUCCAGAAGGACUACCACAAUUCUCGCGGCUGGAUAAGAAUGGAGGGUGCGCUGAAAUCAUUAGUCAUUGUGCUAAACUGAUGGCUGUGGAAAUAUGGAAAAUUUGCCUUUUCUAUCAAGAUGAGAAUCAACAACAUAAUGUUCUAGAAGGAUUCAUGGACAGAAAAGAUAUCUCCUUUUAUGAGUUAAUCAAAUUGAUUGAAGAAGUUGGCUUCUCGCCGGCAUAUGGUUUCUUGUACUACAAGAAGAAAUACCCGCGUGGCAGAUGCUAUUCUGACAUUGCUUCUGACCAUGAAAUACUUUGUGUUCAGUCUUCCCCUGAAAAUAGCUCGCUCGUCGUAUCUCGACAGAAGAAGAACAACUUUGAUCGAUGGAGAUGGAUUUCUUUCCUAUUGUUGCGAUUCUCUUUCAAAGAUAGCUCGCUCGUCAUAUCUCGACAGAAGAAGAACAACUUUGAUCGAUGGAGAUGGAUUUCUUUCCUGUUGCUAAAGGUAUUCCAGCAUGAGCUUCCAUGCACAACAUCAGUGCUUAAAGUAAAGGCUUCAGGACUUAAAAAUAACUUGAUUCUCUGCUCACAGCCAACUCCAGCAAGAAAUAAUUUCACAGCCUUGGUCCAAGGAGAUAGAGAUAGAGAAGUACUGACAAGGUGGCUCGUUCGCAAGUUGGAUCCGUCCAUGAGCUCACUGCUCUUGGUCUCUCACAGCAAAGAACUGCAUGCUGGCUGGGAUCUUGCCCAUGCCAUGCUUGUUGGGCCAAGAGGCGCGGGGGCUGAAUAUCCUUUUUUACAGUUCCGCUUUGCGCUGGCCGGCGAAUCCUCUGCGACUCCUCUUUUACGGGUCCGCUUCGUGGGGUUGCUCGGCCGCUGCCGUGCCGGCCCGUAA
rnacentral:rRNA from 1 species